CACUCUUAACACAUUUUUUUCAUUUAAGUUAUAAGUUGUUUGAAAUAUAAUUCUUGAGCGGAGGCAAAGGCCAAACCAAAACUCAUCUUGUGUUGAUACAUUAUACAUAUAAUGAAGGCAGUAGAUGAUUAUUAUGUACAAGUGGUUGCAGAUACAUGUAAAAACUCAUCAGCCGCGAGCUUAGUUGUGGAGGGAGAAUCAUCAUCAUCAUCUGUUUCACGCUCCUUCGAUCAUAACAGAAUCAAAUGUAAUUCUUGGAAAACAAGAUAUAAGUUCUGGGCGCCCCUCACUAUCAUUCUCCUUCUAGCUCUCUGCUCCAUGUUCACCGGCUCCGUCACCCUCCACUGGUCCACCGCUGCCGCAGCACUCCCCGACGACCUCGACUAUCCUCUUCACUCCGACCUAGACAUCCUCGAAGUGGAAGAGAGAGUAAAAAUGGUGCGGCGUAUGUGGAAUGUGUAUACACAUAGCAACACAAUUAAGUUGCCUAGAUUCUGGCAACGGGCGUUUCAAGCUGCGUAUGAGGAUUUGACUAGUCAUGUUUCUUCACUCCGAAACAAUGCACUGCUGGAGAUUGCUCAGAUGUCCAUGUUUUCUCUUCAAUCUCUUCCUCAACCUGCUUUACCACUGGAAACUCAGAGAAGAAAAGAAACAGUAGCAAGCAAGUUGCAGAAGCCAAGACGGCGACUACUACACGUUGGAGAAUAGUACUAUGUAUCAGACGUUUCUCAUCAUUUUGCGUUCUGUUUUGAUGCACUUGUGAAGAUCAGUACUUGUUCCUGCUCAGCUUUUCCAAGAUGGUAAUCUGCAGCGCUUGCACACAGAGCAACUAAUUACUUAAAUCUACUCCAACGCAUUAUAAUUUUUAGAUGUUAGUGCCAGCCUUGUACUAGUAUUCGUCUAUAUAUCCUCGUCAUUCUACCCUCGGCGGAUCUAGAAAUCUCGUGAGACGCGUAUCAUUCCUAGAAUUUUAAA